UCCGUAGGUGAACCUGCGGAAGGAUCAUUGAAUCUAUCAAUACCAACAACGCGAACCACUGUGUGUCUGUGCCCCUGGCUACGCUCCGCUGCCCUCGGGCGGCGGGGUGAUCAGAGCGGUGCCGCAAUCGCCGCUCUGUGGCGCUGCCACGCAAGUAGCAGCGCUCUGCCUUGCGCUCAGCGCACCAUUCAUUUGGUGCGCUGGGCGGGCCUCCUCUCUUUUCGGAGAGAGGAGCGCAGGCCUUUUGUUGUUAACCUACAACACCAAACCUUAAACAUACUAAAGCUAGAAGCAGCUGGCAUGGCCACUGCAACUAACAAAGACAACUCUCAACAACGGAUAUCUUGGCUCUCGCAACGAUGAAGAACGCAGCGAAAUGCGAUACGUAGUGUGAAUUGCAGAAUUCCGUGAACCAUCGAAUCUUUGAACGCAUAUUGCGCUCGAGGCUUCGGCCAAGAGCAUGUCUGCCUCAGCGUCGGGUUUACCAUCGUUCAUCCAAUCCGUGUGGUUGGAACGAACGGACCUGGCCGUCCCAUGCCUAGCCUUGCGCAAAGGCAUGGGUCAGCUGAAGAACAGAGGCACGAACAUGGACCCGUUAAGGGCUACAACUGGGUAGGUAGAUUUGCCAUUGCGCCUCGUGCGCAUGGCGCUACUCAAUGCUUAGUUGUUGGCCUGGGAGCAUGUUGGUGAUCCCAAGCAGGAUUCGAGAGCCUUGUCUAACCACUCGGCCUCUCUACUCCUCGACCUGAGCUCAGUCAUAGAUACCCGCGAGACUUAAGCAUAUCAAUAAGCGGAGGA
rnacentral:rRNA from 1 species